GGUGGCUCAGUGGUAGAGGGCUUGCCUUGCAUGCAUGAGACCCUGGGUUCAAUUCCUCAGCACCA
rnacentral:tRNA from 1 species